CUGAUUCCUGCCAGUAUAUGCUUGUCUCAAAGCUUAAGCCAGCGCGUAAGUGUAGUUCACGCCACGCAUUAGAAUCUUCGCGAAUGGCUCAGGAACUGACCUAACUCGGGACCGUAAUCCUCCCGGAGGCGAUGGAUAACUGUGGCAAUUCUAGAGCUACGGCGAUGUGACACAGGCUGCGACGUCGGCGCGUCGCCGUCGCCUGCGUGCCGCUCACGCGGGGCACCCAGUCAACGCGCGGGUCGCGGCGCUACAUAUUAGACUACUGGAGACCGAUGCGCGCUAUUCCCGUCCUCCUCUCUGCUCGGUCGUCGUUGUCGUCACUGUCGCCUUUGAGCGGCGGUCGGCGGCGGCGUUUCGCGGCGGGGCUAUGGCGGCGCGCCCGCUUUGGUGACUUGAUAACUCACUGGUCGAUCGCACGCUGGCUUUCACGCCUGGCGACGGGUCUCUUCGAGGGUCCGCCUCCUAUCAACUGUCGAUUUAUCGGUUAUGCCUGCUACCGUGGUUAAUACGGCAAUGGGAAUCGGGUCGAUCGAGAGGGAAAAGCAAACGGCUACAUCCGCGCGAAAGCGGCGCGCAAAUUACCCACUCCCGGCACGGGGAGGUAGUGACGAACGACGCCGCGACCUGUCGAGGCCCAUGAUCGAAAAUGAGCA